rnacentral:tRNA from 1 species
GCCCUGGUCAACAAAGAACGUGGGCCGCCCCACCUCUGGCGAUUCCUGCUUCGCAAGCAGGAUGUCAGGAGUUCGAAUCUCCCGGGCUCCA